rnacentral:sRNA from 1 species
UCCAAUGGAAGGCAAUCUAAGUUCGCCGCGUCCUGCGGCAACGAUUACAUGACCCACGUCCUGUAGG